rnacentral:rRNA from 1 species
GACGAACGCUGGCGGCGUGCUUAACACAUGCAAGUCGAACGGAAAGGCCCUGCUUUUGUGGGGUGCUCGAGUGGCGAACGGGUGAGUAACACGUGAGUAACCUGCCCUUGACUUUGGGAUAACUUCAGGAAACUGGGGCUAAUACCGGAUAGGAGCUCCUGCUACAUGGUGGGGGUUGGAAAGUUUCGGCGGUUGGGGAUGGACUCGCGGCUUAUCAGCUUGUUGGUGGGGUAGUGGCUUACCAAGGCUUUGACGGGUAGCCGGCCUGAGAGGGUGACCGGCCACCAUGGGACUGAGAUACGGACCAGACUCCUACGGGAGACAGCAGGGGGGAGUAUUGCACAAUGGGCGGAAGCCUGAUGCAGAGGCGCCGCGUGCGGGAUGACGGCCUUCGGGUUGUGAACCGCUGUCGCCUGUGACGAAGCGUGAGUGACGGUAAUGGAUAAAGAAGCACCGGCUAACUACGUG